GACGAACGCUGGCGGCGUGCUUAACACAUGCAAGUCGAACGGAAAGGCCCUGCUCUUGUGGGGUGCUCGAGUGGCGAACGGGUGAGUAACACGUGAGUAACCUGCCCUUGACUUUGGGAUAACUUCAGGAAACUGGGGCUAAUACCGGAUAGGAGCUCCUGCUGCAUGGUGGGGAUUGGAAAGUUUCGGCGGUUGGGGAUGGACUCGCGGCUUAUCAGCUUGUUGGUGGGGUAGUGGCUUACCAAGGCUUUGACGGGUAGCCGGCCUGAGAGGGUGACCGGCCACAUUGGGACUGAGAUACGGCCCAGACGCCUACGGGAGGCAGCAGUGGGGAAUAUUGCACAAUGGGCGGAAGCCUGAUGCAGCAACGCCGCGUGCGGGAUGACGGCCUUCGGGUUGUAAACCGCUUUCGCCUGUGACGAAGCGUGAGUGACGGUAAUGGGUAAAGAAGCACCGGCUAACUACGUG
rnacentral:rRNA from 1 species